rnacentral:lncRNA from 1 species
GGGGAAGGAGUGGAGAUGGGAAGGGAGAGGGGCUUCAUACCCCAUUUGUGGAAGAGGAGACUCUUCCACUCUGUUUCCACAAUAGUGACUCCACCCCGGGGCAUCCCUGUGCCAUCUCUCCAGGUGACCUCUCGGCUCCUGAACUCUUCCUGAACACCUCCAAGGCUCAGGAGGGAGAACAGGGAUGAUGGGCUGCUGGCGCCUGGGUAUGGGGAGUAUCAUCAACUGGGAUGUGGUCUGGCUCUAAGCAAAACUCCUGUUCUGCUUCUCCUCAUGAGAUCGCCUCUUCUCCAAAUCCUUCUCCCCUCCUCAGAUCCCAAUCCCCUGAUUGUCCACCAGUUCCACACAGCCAUCGUUCUGGGAGUGGUGGCCGUCUCACUCCUCCUCCUGGCUGCAGCCACCUACUGUGCUGUGAAGAGAGGUGAGUGAUUUGGGGACACGGAGGGGAAACAAUGAGGUGAAACCCAGAGCGGAGGUUAAAUCACCCAUCCUGGUUGAGCAUUGCCGGUUCAUUACCCCAUAUCACAGGAAGGGGAAGAAACCUUUCCUUUAUUACCUAGGGGGACGGAAAGUUUCCUGUAAUGGGGAAGACUAAUUUUCUCCAUACGCCUGGGAAAUAUUUGCUUCCAGUCCUCUGGGCACAAGAAGGGAGUUUCCGAGCUGGCCUGAGUGGGGCAAACACGGCUCCUCAACAUUUGGGCUGUCCACAACUGCUGAGAGCUUGGGAGAAACCAGUAUGGAGUCAUGGUUGCACAGGCUGGGCUAAAAAGAUCAGUCCCUGAGUGAGGUGUGGAGGUUCAUCCCAUCGUGUUCAUGGGGCAGCCCAGAGCAUGGAGAGCCAGGGCUGGGCAGUAACUCUGCCUCCCUGCCUCUCCCUUCCUUUUCCUUGCAGGGGCCUGCAGAGAGAGAUGUCAAAGGAAGAAGCAUCAGCUUCCCAGCCAUGAGACUGAAGUGACUGUUGACAAUGGAAUACAAUGUGAGUACCACCUCCUCCUCCCGGACGCCACCAUCGCCCACGUUGGACAUGACAGGGUGAGUCAUGGCAGAGCUUUGGUGCCAAAGCAGGGAGCGGGGCCCCCAGGGACGGGAUGUGCUGGUCGGGGUCUGUGGUGGUGUCUUGGGGUGGGGAGUCUCUCUGGGUUGUUCCCACCAAUGAACCCAACCGAUGCCUUGGAGAAGAAGACGUGUAUUUCUGCGUCCCCCUUCCCAUAUCCUGCCACAUCAGAUUCUUCUCCAUGGGUGACAUUUCUCCAACAACAACAUAUUUUUUUACCAAGAAAUGCUUUUUUUUCCUCCAUAUAUGAAGUGCACAGCUCCCUCCUCUGCUCUGAUAGUGCAGGGAAGAUGCUCGUCUAGGACUCACUUCCAGCAGGGGAACUAACAGGGUUUCAUCUUCCCUCCACAGCGUGGUGUGCAGGAGAUGGAGCCCACCACAACGUAUGCCACGGUGAGCCGCUCCCGCAGCCAGCCCCGAUAGCGCUCCAGCACGGCGAGGGCACAGGGAGCCUUGCCCACCUUGGCCUUUUCUCUCGGGCAGAGAGCUCCCGCCCUGGGAAAAUGGGGCUGCUCUAUUCUGGAGGACUUGCACCAAAACUGUCUCUGUGAUGGGCACAGAUAUGUACAAUGUGUGAUAGCUCAAUGCAUAAAAAAUACAUGCUCUCUAAUGUGAAUGUACAGGUGAGCAGACAUCUCCUUCUGCACCUCGAGUGCAGACAUCUCCUUCCCACUCUGUAACGUGGAACGUGUGUGUCCAUAAACUGCGUGACACAGCUACGGGUGGGCUCUGAUAUCUCCCCGCACCCACGCACGGCUGUAGAGACGGGGACCCAGAGCCACGGGCACUGAGGUGCUCACACCUCUCUCUCAAGAGCUCUGGGCAAGGAGGAGGCAAUUUGGCUCCAAGGAACAAGAAACCUCCCGGGAUUCCUCUCAGCGCUGGCACCUCUCUCGGAUCCGGUCCCUUCAGGAAUGGCCUUGAGCUGCCCAGAGACAGCCCUAGAGAUACAAAGGGGGGCUGUCGAGAUCUGAAGGGACUGUGGAGAUACGUGGGGAUGGAAAGGGGAGCUCUUUCUUCUCUGAGCUCACCUGAGACAUCUCCCACAGCCUGAACCCUUCCUCUUCACACUCUGCUGCUGCC